CUGUUCUUCUCCGCAACCGUUGCGGCCACCGGCAGAGUCGAGCAACUUCCAACUCUUCCCGCCUCGGUCCGUCCGUACGAGGUGCGAAUUGUAAAGUCCUGCUCCAGCCGAAACGGGCGGUUAUGUGUACGUCGGUGUACACGCGCCGUGUGUCAUCAAGAAGCAAAGAGGAUGUUCGUGUGAUGGCAUAAAAAAAAAAAAAAGAUGCAACAAAUCUUAGAACAAGGGCUUAAUCUCAGCAGAUCGUAGCAACAAGGCUACUCUACUGCUUACAAUACCCCGUUCUUUAUUUAAGUCGUCUGCAAAGGAUUUAGCUCUGGAAAAUUUAGAUUUUGGUCGCUGUAGUGCUUAGGUGCAUAGUCUGCUCCAUGGGCACGUUGUGACACAGGAGGCACGACGAGUCGCGCCACUAUUCUUGUUCGCGUAAGUCGUCCAGAGAAAGGAAUCGUUGCGUUCUAGCACGGAUUCUGAUUUAGAGGCGUUCAAUCAUAAUCCAACAGAUGGUAGCUUCGCACCAUUGUCUUUUCAGGCAAGUGCAUGAGCCAAUUGUCUGAAUCUGCGGUUCCUCUCGUACUGAGCAGAAUUACUAUUGCAACAACCAUUCAACAGUAGGGUAAAACUAACCUGUCUCACGACGGUCUAAACCCAGCUCACGUUCCCUAUUGGCGGGUGAACAAUCCGACGCUUGGCGAAUUCUGCUUCGCAAUGAUAGGAAGAGCCGACAUCGAAGGAUCAAAAAGCAACGUCGCUAUGAACGCUUGGCUGCCACAAGCCAGUUAUUCAACCUUACACUUAUACGUUUAUGAGCACUUACGUUCUAAACCACAAUAUCACUUUAUUUUUUCCAUUUAGUUAUUAUACAUACUGAUUUUCACAUUUCUCAUUAUAUAUGCAAUAUGUAUAUAUAUAUUGUAACUUUUCUGGUGAAAAAAAUUUUGCAUCUUGUUCAACGCCAUCGUGAAGCUUGUCAACUGAACUUUCAUGUACAAGUGGUCUUUGGAUAUUUCAAACUUCCGGGGGGGAGAUACGGAGGCGUAAAAACGGGUGCGGGGACACGAUUGAAAAUCGAAAUUUCAACCCCCCCGGAAUUCUUUCCUUCUAGGUAAAUUGGUAAUUUUUUUAUACCGUUGUAAUGCCGCGAAGCAUGUCUCUACGUGACAGUAUCAACAUGUCUUAGGAUCUCUUUGUUCUUCUUUUAUGGUUCGUCAAACAUGGGUGCAAACACUGUAAGUAUUUUUCGAUUUUCAAAAUGAUGAUAUUCAAGCCCCCCCGGAGUCUUGGAAUCUACAGAUAUUUGGAAAAUUUUUAACGGACGGUCUUGCCAGAUAACUUUGUAGUUCACAUGGGAAAAAUAAAGAAAAUAUGGCAAUUAGUUCAUUUUUUAUUAUGCCUCAAACAUGGCGCCAAAAAAUGAGCAUUUUUUUAAAAUCACGAAUUUUUGCAAUUUUGUGGACAAUUUAAAUUUGUGCAUUUUUAUUGGAAGGGAAAAGUAUGUGCUCUUUGACACUCUCUGAGAUCGUGUCAUCGCAAAGCAGAGUACUUAGUGGACAUAUUACCGGGAGUGCGUUUUUAUGACGUCGCGCAUGCGCCAUAGGAACAUGUUGGUUUUGGGGUUAAAAAGCGAUGUAUCAACCGAGUAAAAAUCGAAAUUUUAAACUCUCUGAAUUUUUUUUUUCAACGUCAAUUGGUAAUUGUUUUUCAUAGUUGUAAUGGCCAGAAGCAUGUCUUUCCGUGACAGUAUCAACAUACCUUAGGAUGUCUUUGUUCUUGUUUUAAGGUUCGCCAAACAUGGGUGCAAACACUGUAAGUAUUUUUCGAUUUUCAAAAUGAUGAUAUUCGCGCCCCUCUGGAGUCUUCGACUCUACAGAUAUUUGGAAAAUUUUUCUUGGACGCUCUUUCCAGAUAACGUUGUAUUUCACAUGGGAAAAAUAAAGAAAAUAUGGCCAAUAGUUCAUUUUUUAUUAUGCCUCAAACAUGGCACCAAAAAAUGAGCAUUUUGCAAAAUCACGAAUUUUUGCAAUUUUGUGGACAAUUUAAAUUUGUGCAUUUUUAUUGGAAGGGAAAAGUAUGUGCUGUGUCACACUCUCUGAGAUCGUGGCAUCGCAAAGCAAAGUACUUAGUGCGCAUAUUACCGGGGGUGCGUUUUUAUGACGCCGCGCAUGCGCCAUAGAAACAUGUUGGUUCUGGUGUUAAACAGCGAUGUGCCAACCGAGUAAAAAUCGAAAUUUCAAACUCUUUGAAUUUUUUCAUUCAACGUGAAUUGGUAAUUUUUUCAUAGUUUUAAAUGCGAGAAGCAUGUCUCUGCGUGACGGUAUCAAGAUAUCUUACGUCCUCUUCGUUCUUGUUUUAAGAUUCGUGAAACAUGGAUGCAAACACUGUAAGUAUUUUUCGAUUCUCAAAAUGAUGAUAUUCACGCCCUCCUGGAGCCUGCGAAUCUACAGAUAUGUGAACAAAUUUUAUUGACUACUCUUUCCAGAUAAGUUUGUAGUUCACGCUGCAAAAGUGACAAAAAUAUGGCCAUUAGUUCAUUUUUUUAUUAUGCCUCAAACAUGGCGCCGAAAAAAUGAGCAUUUUGUAAAAUCAUGAAUUUUUGCAAUUUUGUGGACAUUUAAAUAGUGAAUUUUUAUUGCAAGGGAAACGUAUGUGCUCUGUAACAGUCUCUGAAAUCGUGUCAUCGCAAACCAAAGUACCUAGUGCACAUAUUGCCGGGGGCGCGUUUUUUUCAUGUCGCGCAUGCGCCAAAGAAACGUGUUGGAUUUGGUGUUAAACAGCGAUGUGCCAACCGAGUAAAUAUCGAAAUUUCAAACUCUCUGAAUUUUUUCAUUCAACGAGAAUUGGUUAAUUUUUUUAUAGUUGUAAUGGAGAGAAGCAUGUCUCUGCGUGACAGUAUCAACAUACCUUCGGAUAUCUUUGUUCUUGUUUUAAGGUUGGUCAAACGUGGGUGCAAACACUGCAAGUAUUUUUCGAUUUUCAAAAUGAUGAUAUUCGCGCCCCUCUGGAGUCUUCGAAUCUACAGUUAUUUGGAAAAUUUUUCUUGGACGCUGUUGCCAGAUAAUUUUGUAGUUCACAUGGGAAAAAUAAAGAAAAUAUGCCUCUAGUUCAUUUUUUAUUAUGCCUCAAACAUGGCGCCAAGAAAUGAGCAUUUUGUAAAAUCACGAAUUUUUGCAAUUUUGUGGACAAUUUAAAUUUGUGCAUUUUUAUUGCAAGGGAAAAGUAUGUUCUCUGUGACACUCUCUAAGAUCGUGUUAUCGCAAAGCAAAGUACUUAGUGCACAUAUUACCGGGGGUGAGUUUUUAUGACGCCGCGCAUGCGCCAUAGAAACAUGUUGGUUUUGGUGUUAAACAGCGAUGUGACAACCGAGUAAAAAUCGAAAUUUCAAACUCCCUGAAUUUUUUCAUUCAACGUAAAUUGGUAAUUUUUUUCAUAGUUGUAACGGAGAGAAGCAUGUCUCUGCGUGACAGUAUCAGCAUACCUUAGGAUCUCUUUGUUCUUGUUUUAAGGUUCGUCAAACAUGGGUGCAAACACUGUAAGUAUUUUUCGAUUUUCAAAAUGAUCAUAUUCACGCCCCUCUGGAGUAUUCGAAUCUACAGUUAUUUGGAAAAUUUUUCUUGGACGCUCCUGCCAGAUAAUUUUGUAGUUCACAUGCGAAAAAUAAAGAACAUAUGCCUUUAGUUCAUUUUUUAUUAUGCCUCAUACAUGGCGCCAAAAAAUGAGCAUUUUGUAAAAUCACGAAUUUUUGCAAUUUUGUGGACAAUUUAAAUUUGUGCAUUUUUAUUGCAAGGGAAAAGUAUGUGCUCUGUGACACUCUCUGAGAUCGUGUCAUCGCAAAGCAAAGUACUUAGUGCACAUAUUACCGGGGAUGCGUUUUUAUGACGCCGCGCAUGCGCCAUAGAAACAUGUUGGUUUUGGUGUUAAACAGCGAUGUGCAAACCGAGUAAAAAUCGAAAUUUCAAACUCUCUGAAUUUUUUCAUUCAACGUGAAUUGGUAAUUUUUUUCAUAGUUGUAAUGGAGAGAAGCAUGUCUCUGCGUGACAGUAUCAACAUACCUUAGGAUCUCUUUGUUCUUGUUUUAAGGUUCGUCAAACAUGGGUGCAAACACUGUAAGUAUUUUUCGAUUUUCAAAAUGAUCAUAUUCACGCCCCUCUGGAGUCUUCGAAUCUACAGUUAUUUGGAAAAUUUUUCUUGGACGCUCUUCCCAGAUAAUUUUGUAGUUCACAUGGGAAAAAUAAAGAAAAUAUGCCUCUAGUUCAUUUUUUAUUAUGCCUCAAACAUGGCGCCAAAAAAUGAGCAUUUUGUAAAAUCACGAAUUUUUGCAAUUUUGUGGACAAUUUAAAUUUGUGCAUUUUUAUUGCAAGGGAAAAGUAUGUGCCCUGUGACACUCUCUGAGAUCGUGUCAUCGCAAAGCAAAGUACUUAGUGCACAUAUUACCGGGGGUGCGUUUUUAUGACGGCGCGCAUGCGCCAUAGAAACAUGUUGGUUUUGGUGUUAAACAGCGAUGUGCCAACCGAGUAAAAAUCGAAAUUUCAAACUCUCUGAAUUUUUUAUUCAACGUGAAUUGGUAAUUUUUUUCAUAGUUGUAAUGGAGAGAAGCAUGUCUCUGCGUGACAGUAUCAACAUACCUUAGGAUCUCUUUGUUCUUGUUUUAAGGUUCGUCAAACAUGGGUGCAAACACUGUAAGUAUUUUUCGAUUUUCAAAAUGAUGAUAUUCACGCCCCACUGGAGUCUUUGAAUCUACAGAUAUUUGGAAAAUGUUUCUUGAACGCUCUUGCCAGAUAACUUUGUAGUUCACAUGGGGAAAAUAAAGAAAAUAUGGCCACUACUUCAUUUUUUAUUAUGCCUCAAACAUGGCGCCAAAAAAUGAGCAUUUUGUAAAAUCACGAAUUUUUGCAAUUUUGUGGACAAUUUAAAUUUGUGCAUUUUUAUUGCAAGGGAAAAGUAUGUGCUCUGUGACACUCUCUGAGAUCAUGUCACCGCAAAGCAAAGUACUUAGUGCACAUAUUACCGGGAGUGCGUUUUUCUGACGUCGCGCAUGCGCCAUACAAACAUGUUGGUUUUGGUGUUAAACAGCGAUGUGCCAACCGAGUAAAAUUCGAAAUUUCAAACUCCCUGAAUUUUUUCAUUCAACGUGAAUUGGUAAAUUUUUUUCAUAGGUGUAAUCGUGAGAAGCAUGUCUCUUCGUGACAGUUUCAAGAAACCUUAGGAUCUCUUUUUUCUUGUUUUAAGGUUCGUCAAACUUGGAUGCAAACACUGUAAGUAUUUUUCGAUUUUCAAAAUGAUGAUAUUCACGCCCUCCUGGAGCCUGCGAAUCUGCAGAUCUGUGAACAAUUUUUAUUGGCUACUCUUGCGAGAUAAGUUUGUAGUUCACAUUGCGAAAGUAAAGAAAAUAUGGCGAUUAGUUCAUUUUUUUAUUACGCCUCAAACAUGGCGCCGAAAAAAUGAGCAAUUCGUAAAAUCACGAAUUUUUGCAAUUUUGUGGACAAUUUAAUUUGUGCAUUUUAAUUGGAAUGGAAAAGUAUGUGCUUUGUGAGACUCUCUGAGAUCGUGUCAUCGCAAAGCAAAGUACUUAGUGCACAUAUUACUGGGGGUGCGUUUUUUUCAAGUCGCGCAUGCGCCAAAGAAACAUGUUGAUUUUUGUGUUAAACAGCGAUGUGCCAACCGGGUAAAAAUCGAAAUUUCAAACUCCCUGAAUUUUUUCAUUCAACGUGAAUUGGUAAAUUUUUUUCAUAGGUGUAAUCGUGAGAAGCAUGUCUCUUCGUGACAGUUUCAAGAAACCUUAGGAUCUCUUUUUUCUUGUUUUAAGGUUCGUCAAACUUGGAUGCAAACACUGUAAGUAUUUUUCGAUUUUCAAAAUGAUGAUAUUCACGCCCUCCUGGAGCCUGCGAAUCUGCAGAUCUGUGAACAAUUUUUAUUGGCUACUCUUGCGAGAUAAGUUUGUAGUUCACAUUGCGAAAGUAAAGAAAAUAUGGCGAUUAGUUCAUUUUUUUAUUACGCCUCAAACAUGGCGCCGAAAAAAUGAGCAAUUCGUAAAAUCACGAAUUUUUGCAAUUUUGUGGACAAUUUAAUUUUGUGCAUUUUUAUUGGAAUGGAAAAGUAUGUGCUCUGUGAGACUCUCUGAGAUCGUGUCAUCGCAAAGCAAAGUACUUAGUGCACAUAUUACUGGGGGUGCGUUUUUUUCAAGUCGCGCAUGCGCCAAAGAAACAUGUUGAUUUUUGUGUUAAACAGCGAUGUGCCAACCGGGUAAAAAUCGAAAUUUCAAACUCUCUGAAUUUUUUUAUUCAACGUGAAUUGGUAAUUUUUUUCACAGUUGUAAUGGCGAGAAGCAUGUCUCUGCGUGACAGUAUUAAGAUACCUUAGGAUCUCUUUGUUCUUGUUUUAAGGUUCGUCAAACUUGGAUGCAAACACUGUAAGUAUUUUUCGAUUUUGAAAAUUAUGAUAUUCACGCCCUCCUGGAGCCUGGGAAUUUACAGAUAUGCGAACAAUUUUUACUGGCUACUCUUGCCAGAUAAGUUUGUAGUUCACAUUGCGAAAGUAAAGAAAAUAUGGCUGUUAGUUCAUUUUCUUAUUAUGCCUCAAACAUGGCGCCGAAAAAAUGAGCAAUUUGUAAAAUCACGAAUUUUUCAAUUUUGUGGACAUUUAAUUUUGUGCAUUUUUAUUGGAAGGGAAAAGUAUGUCCUUUGUGACACUCUCUGAGAUCGUGUCAUCGCAAAGCAAAGUACUUAGGGCACAUAUUACCGGGAGGGCGUUUUUUUGCUGUUGCGCAUGCGCCAAAGAAACAUGUUGGUUUUGGUGUUAAACAGCGAUGUGCCAACCGAGUAAAAAUCAAAAUUUCAAACUCUCUGAAUUUUUUAUUCAACGUGAAUUGCUAAAUUGUUUUCACAGUUGUAAUGGCGACAAGCAUGUCUCUGCGUGACAGUAUCAAGAUACCUUAGGAUCUCUUUGUUCUUGUUUUAAAGUUCGUCAAACAUGGAUGCAAACACUGUAAGUAUUUUUCGAUUUUCAAAAUGAUGAUAUUCACGCCCCACUGGAGUCUGCGAAUCUACAGAUAUGUGAACAAUUUUUAUUGGCUACUCUUGCAAGAUAAGUUUGUAGUUCACAUUGCGAAAGUAAAGAAAAUAUGGCUGUUAGUUCAUUUUCUUAUUAUGCCUCAAACAUGGCGCCGAAAAAAUGAGCAAUUUGUAAAAUCACGAAUUUUUCAAUUUUGUGGACAUUUAAUUUUGUGCAUUUUUAUUGGAAGGGAAAAGUAUGUCCUUUGUGACACUCUCUGAGAUCGUGUCAUCGCAAAGCAAAGUACUUAGGGCACAUAUUACCGGGAGGGCGUUUUUUUGCUGUUGCGCAUGCGCCAAAGAAACAUGUUGGUUUUGGUGUUAAACAGCGAUGUGCCAACCGAGUAAAAAUCAAAAUUUCAAACUCUCUGAAUUUUUUAUUCAACGUGAAUUGCUAAAUUGUUUUCACAGUUGUAAUGGCGACAAGCAUGUCUCUGCGUGACAGUAUCAAGAUACCUUAGGAUCUCUUUGUUCUUGUUUUAAAGUUCGUCAAACAUGGAUGCAAACACUGUAAGUAUUUUUCGAUUUUCAAAAUGAUGAUAUUCACGCCCCACUGGAGUCUGCGAAUCUACAGAUAUGUGAACAAUUUUUAUUGGCUACUCUUGCAAGAUAAGUUUGUAGUUCACAUUGCGAAAGUAAAGAAAAUAUGGCCAUUAGUUCAUUUUUUUAUUAUGCCUCAAACAUGGCGCCGAAAAUAUGAGCAAUUUGUAAAAUCACGAAUUUUGGAAUUUUGUGGACAAUUUCAAUUUGUGCAUUUUUAUUGGAAGAGAAAAGUAUGUGCUCUGUGACACUCUCUGAGAUCGUGUCAUCGCAAAGCAAAGUACUUAGUGCACAUAUUACCGGGGGUGCGUUUUAUUGAUGUGGCGCAUGCGCCAAAGAAACAUGUUGGUUUUGGUGUUAAACAGCGAUGUGCCAACCGAGUAAAAAUCAAAAUUUCAAACUUUCUGAAUUUUUUUAUUCAACGUGAAUUGGUAAUUUUUUUUCAUAGUUGUAAUGGCGAGAAGCAUUUCUCUGCGUGACGGUAUCAAGACACCUUAGGAUCUCUUUGUUCUUGUUUUAAGGUUCGUCAAACAUGGAUGCAAACACUGUAAGUAUUUUUCGAUUUUCAAAAUGAUGAUAUUCACGCCCUCCUGGAGCCUGCGAAUCUACAGAUAUGUGAACAAUUUUUAUUGGCUACUCUUGCGAGAUAAGUUUGUAGUUAACAUUGCGAAAGUGAAGAAAAUAUGGCCAUUAGUUCAUUUUUUUAUUACGCCUCAAACAUGGCGCCGAAAAAUGAACAAUUUGGAAAAUCACGAAUUUUUGCAAUUUUGUGGACAAUUUAAAUUUGUGCAUUUUUAUUCGAAGGGAAAAGUAUGUGCUCUGUGACACUCUCUGAGAUCGUGUCAUCGCAAAGCAAAGUACUUAGUGCACAUAUUACCGGGGGUGCGUUGUUUUGAAGUCGCGCAUGCGCCAAAGAAACAUGUUGAUUUUUGUGUUAAACAGCGAUGUGCCAACCAAGUAAAAAUCGAAAUUUGAAACUCUCUGAAUUUUUUUAUUCAACGUGAAUUAGUAAUUUUUUUCAUAGUUGCAAUGGCGACAAGCAUGUCUCUGCGUGACAGUAUCAAGAGACCUUAGGAUCUCUUUGUUCUUGUUUUAAGGUUCGUCAAACAUGGAUGGAAACACUGUAAGUAUUUUUCGAUUUUCAAAAUGAUGAUAUUCACGCCCUCCUGGAGCCUGCGAAUCUACAGAUAUGUGAACAAUUUUUAUUGGCUACUCUUGCGAGAUAAGUUUGUAGUUCACAUUGCGAAAGUAAAGAAAAUGUGGCCAUUAGUUCAUUUUUUUAUUAUGCCUCAAACAUGGCGCCGAAAAUAUGAGCAGUUUGUAAAAUCACGAAUUUUUGCAAUUUUGUGGACAAUUUCAAUUUGUGCAUUUUUACUGGAAGGGAAAAGUAUGUGCUCUGUGACACUCUCUGGGUAGGUGUCAUCGCAAAGCAAAGUACUUAGUGCACAUAUUAGCGGGGGUGCGUUUUUUUAUGUUGCGCAUGCGCCAAAGAAACAUGUUGGUUUUGGUGUUAAACAGUGAUGUGCCAACCGAGUAAAAAUCAAAAUUUCAAACUCUCCGAAUUUUUUUAUUCAACGUGAAUUGGUAAAUUUUUUUCAUAGUUCUAAUGGCGACGAGCAUGUCUCUACGUGACAGUAUCAAGACACCUUAGGAUCUCUUUGUACUUGUUUUAAGGUUCGUCAAACAUGGAUGCAAACACUGUAAGUAUUUUUCGAUUUUCAAAAUGAUGAUAUUCACGCCCUCCUGGAGCUUGGGAAUUUACAGAUAUGUGAACAAUUUUUAUUGGCUACUCUUGCCAGAUAAGUUUGUAGUUCGCAUUGCGAAAGUAAAGAAAAUAUGGCCCUUAGUUCAUUUUUUUAUUAUGCCUCAAUAAUUUCACCAAUAUUGUGACAUAGGUUGUUUCUAUGGAGACAUAAUGUACAUGGUUAUAUUCGUUUUAGUGAGUUCAAGGUUACUAGGCAUUUCAUACCAGAGUAAAGUAAAGUUGUCUUUGUUAAAAUUCAAAAUUGAUGGAUGUUUCAUAUAUUAAAUUUCAUUAUUUAAACUUGAACACUUACAAAAAUAUUUUGACAUAGGUUCCCUGUUUCGGACAUAAUGUACACAGUUAGAUUUUUCUUACUGAGAAGAAUGUAAAUAUUGGCAUUGCAUGGCUGGUGAAGUAUAUUUGUCCUGGUAAAAUUUCAUAAUUAGUGGAUAUUUCACAUGUUGAAUAAUGAAUAAAACUUCAAUAGUUUUACAAACAUUUUCACACACGUUACCUGUAUUGACACAUAAUGUAUACAGUUAGAUUCUUAUUACAGAGAGGAAAGAAAAGAUUUGCAUUAUGUGACUGGUAAACGGCAAAAGAUAAGGGAAUAAGAAGCACGUUUAGCAAAAAAUCACUAUCAUGCAUUUUGUACUGGCAUGUCAGUAAGGAG
rnacentral:lncRNA from 1 species